UACGUAGGGGGGCUAGCGUUGUCCGGAUUUAUUGGGCGUAAAGAGCGUGUAGGCGGCCAGGUAGGUCCGUUGUGAAAACUCGAGGCUCAACCUCGAGACGUCGGCGGAAACCCUCUGGCUAGAGUCCGGAAGAGGAGAGUGGAAUUCCUGGUGUAGCGGUGAAAUGCGCAGAUAUCAGGAAGAACACCCGUGGCGGAAGGCGGCUCUCUGGGACGGUACUGACGCUGAGACGCGAAAGCGUGGGGAGCAAACAGG
rnacentral:rRNA from 1 species